rnacentral:tRNA from 1 species
GGCUGGGGUGUAGCUCAGUGGUAGAGCACUUGCUUAACAUGCAUGAGGCCCUGGGUUCAAUCCCCAGCACUGCCA